rnacentral:rRNA from 1 species
GCCGAACGCUGGCGGCGUGCUUAACACAUGCAAGUCGAACGGUAAGGCCCUUCGGGGUACACGAGUGGCAGCCGGGUAAUUACCACGUGGGUGCUCUGCCCUGCACUUCGGGAUGAGCCUGGCAAACUGGAUCUAACACCGGAUUGGACCAUGCGCCUCACGGUGUGUGGUGGAAAGCUUUUGCGGUGUGGGAUGGGCCCGCGGCCUAUCAGCUUGUUGGUGGGGUAAUGGCCUACCAAGGCGACGACGGGUAGCCGGCCUGAGAGGGUGACCGGCCACACUGGGACUGAGAUACGGCCCAGACUCCUACGGGAGGCAGCAGUGGGGAAUAUUGCACAAUGGGCGCAAGCCUGAUGCAGCGAGGCCGCGUGAGGGAUGACGGCCUUCGGGUUGUAAACCUCUUUCAGUAGGGACGAAGCGCAAGUGACGGUACCUACAGAAGAAGGACCGGCCAACUACGUGCCAGCAGCCGCCGCCG